rnacentral:rRNA from 1 species
UACGAAGGGGGCUAGCGUUGUUCGGAUUUACUGGGCGUAAAGCGCACGUAGGCGGAUUGUUAAGUCGGGGGUGAAAUCCUGGAGCUCAACUCCAGAAUUGCCUUCGAUACUGGCUUUCUAGAGGCUGGAAGAGGUUAGUGGAAUUCCCAGUGUAGAGGUGAAAUUCGUAGAUAUUGGGAAGAACACCAGUGGCGAAGGCGGCUAACUGGUCCGGAUCUGACGCUGAGGUGCGAAAGCGUGGGGAGCAAACAGGG